rnacentral:lncRNA from 1 species
AUGUUUCAACCAAAUGGACAAAAGCAGCAAGGCACAGAAAACUGUCAAAAGAUCAGGAAGAUACCUCAGUACAUUGCAAGUUUCCUGAGCAGGAGACAUACAUCCUGCAGAAGUGUGCCUUGGAGACUCAAAGGAGGAGAAAUUAAGCCAGUUGUGGAUGACUUGGAUAUCUUACACUGCAUGUCUUCAGCAUUCAUAGAGACCUAUGUCUGCAGGGUCUGUGUGUGUGUGUGUGUGUGUGUGUGUGUGUGUUUGCAUGUGACAUCAUCAUGUUGAGUGUGUGCUCACAUGUGUAUGGCUCUGUUGUCUGUGUGUCUUUAGAGAGGAAGGAAGAGAGUGAAGUCAGAGCAGACGGAAUGUUGGGGCAUUUAUGUAAUUCAUGCAGAGACUGUUCAACGCUGCAAGGCAGACAGCCACCCAUUCCUGGACUCUGCUGCUCUGGAGGGCCUGUCCGGACCUGAUCUGAAUGUUAAAUGCAGGAGAUGAAAUUAGCAUACUAACCAAGAAUGUCAACCCCUCCCUGCAAUCAGUAAAUGGCCGUCUCCUCUCUUUCAAGCCGGCACCGCUACGCGCGCCAGCCACUUAACCAUGUCCUCUGUCAGGUCCCUUUUUGUGUUUGUUUUUUUGUUUUUGUUUUUUGAUGAAAGACUGGAAAUUCAUUAAUGAGGAGGGAAGGAAGGGCUUCAAGGGGCUGUAAUGAAAACAAAUGAUCCUCUUUAAAUCUCAUGUCGGCCAAAGCUGAGGUUGGGGGGGGUGGGUGUUGCUUUCUGUUUUGGGGCUGGAGAAUAGGAAAUUCCACAGACAACAGACCACUUGACAAGAGCCCAAGAAUGCACUGCUUGGGAAUUUCUUCUAUGUCGCAAAGACCGGCCAUGGCCAGUAAGUCUGUGUUAAUAAAACUGAGAAUGAGCUUUAUCUUCUGAACUGU